rnacentral:rRNA from 1 species
AUUGAACGCUGGCGGCAUACUUUACACAUGCAAGUCGAACGGUAACAGGCCUUCGGGUGCUGACGAGUGGCGAACGGGUGAGUAAUGCAUCGGAACGUACCCAGAGGUGGGGGAUAACGCAGCGAAAGCUGUGCUAAUACCGCAUGUGAUCUGAGGAUGAAAGCGGGGGACCGAGCAGCAAUGUUUGGCCUCGCGCCUUUGGAGCGGCCGAUGUCGGAUUAGCUAGUUGGUGGGGUAAAGGCCUACCAAGGCGACGAUCCGUAGCUGGUCUGAGAGGACGACCAGCCACACUGGGACUGAGACACGGCCCAGACUCCUACGGGAGGCAGCAGUGGGGAAUUUUGGACAAUGGGCGCAAGACUGAUCCAGCAAUGCCGCGUGCGGGAAGAAGGCCUUCGGGUUGUAAACCGCUUUUGGCAGGAACGAAACGGUGUCCGCUAAUACCGGGCGCUAAUGACGGUACCUGCAGAAUAAGCACCGGCUAACUACGUG